rnacentral:lncRNA from 1 species
AAUAUGCCGUUUUUGGCUUAUAACUCAAAAACCGAAGCAUUUAGAGAAAAUCUGACAGGGUUAAAUUGUUUAUCAGGUCAAGAUCUAUCUGCCCUGAUAUUUUCACAUGGAUCGGACAACCCGUUGUUAGGUUACUGCCCUGAAUUGGUAAUUUUAAGGAAAUUUUGCCGUUUUUUUGUUAUUAUCUUGAAUAUUAUUAUAGAUAGAGAUAAACUGUAAACAGCAAUAACGUUCAGCAAAAUAAGAUCUACAAAUAAGUUUUUACAUAACCAAAAUAGUCAAUUGACCCUUUAAGGAGUUAUUGCCCUUUAUAGUUAAUUUUUUACAUUUUUCAUAAAUUUUUGUAAAUUUUUAGAAAAUAUUUUCCACUGUAAUUACUGGGCCAAGUUCAUUAUAGAUAGAGAUAAUUGUAGCAACAAGAAUGUUCAGUAAAGUAAGAUCUACAAACACAUCACCAAAACACAAUUAUGUCAUGAAUUUGUCUGUGUCCAUUGUUUAAUAUGCACAUAGACCAAGGUGAGCGACACAGG